GAUGAACGCUGGCGGCGUGCCUAAUACAUGCAAGUCGAGCGAAUGGAUUGAGAGCUUGCUCUUAUGAAGUUAGCGGCGGACGGGUGAGUAACACGUGGGUAACCUGCCCAUAAGACUGGGAUAACUCCGGGAAACCGGGGCUAAUACCGGAUAACAUUUUGAACCGCAUGGUUCGAAAUUGAAAGGCGGCUUCGGCUGUCACUUAUGGAUGGACCCGCGUCGCAUUAGCUAGUUGGUGAGGUAACGGCUCACCAAGGCAACGAUGCGUAGCCGCACUGAGAGGGUGGUCGGCCACACUGGGACUGAGACACGGCCCAGACUCCUACGGGAGGCAGCAGUAGGGAAUCUUCCGCAAUGGACGAAAGUCUGACGGAGCAACGCCGCGUGAGUGAUGAAGGCUUUCGGGUCGUAAAACUCUGUUGUUAGGGAAGAACAAGUGCUAGUUGAAUAAGCUGGCACCUUGACGGUACCUAACCAGAAAGCCACGGCUAACUACGUGCCAGCCGCCGCAGUAA
rnacentral:rRNA from 1 species